ensembl:lncRNA
GUAAAUCAUUAAGUUUAUAACACACAGAAUACAAACUCAAAAAGUAAUUUAUUUAAAUUACUAAAAUAGCUUCUUAAGUUAUUUACACAUUAACUGCUACAGUUGUUUAUCCUGAAAGAUAAAAGCAACGUAUCACUUAAAAUUUAUUCAAGCCAGUGGAAUACUCAAUAAAACGCUUCCAUUUCCUUAUGAUAUGUAUGUAAAAAAUAAAGACUUUCAAAAGCUUUUUUAUAAUUCUUUACAAAAUAAACCUCAUCAGUCUGACUUGACCGAAACAGAUAAUAAAGAUACAAAUAUUGCUAGUCCCCUGGAAAGAAGUUAGACUACUUUCUACCACGCACCAAGACUCCCGGUGGUAAAGGGUUGAGUGGUACCCUAACGUAGUAUGCUCAUUUAGAAGUCUAUGGAAAAAGGAGCUCAAGGUGCGUCUAGAUCUGUAAGAGUAGAAAACAAAAAAGCAGCCAGCGGAUGAGAAAGCCUAGUUACAAAUGCAAAACACCCUAAAAUACUACAGCAGUAGAGACCUAUGUCCAACAUUCUUCAUGUGUGGUAAGGGUCACUCUUUUUGGCUUGAAGUACUCAAUAAAGCUAUUACGUGCAGAGUAUAUUUUUAUAUUUGUUACGGACUGCCAUUCAAGGAUGUCAAGUACUCAAGUUCUUGUCAAUAGACCAACAGAGAACUGCUUACUGUUUUUGGAAGUUGUCACUGUGUGCUGUAUAUUGUGUCUGUGUGGGGUGUGUGUGUGUGUGUGUGUGUGUGUGUGUGUGUGUGUGUGUGUGUGCUGAGACAUUAUUUCAUUCUACAGCCCAGGCAAGCUGGCUUGAAACUCACUAUAUAGCUAACAACGGCUUCCUCUUCAACUUUCCAAGUGCUGGGAUUGUAGACAUGAGUUACCUGACUUUGAAAUGUAUUUCUACUGCUGGCAGAGCACAUGACCAGUAGGUGUGGGAUCUCAGGUUCAAUUCCUAGUACUGGUAAAAAAGCAAAAAAAAAAAAAAAAAAAAAAAAAAAAAAAA